GACGAACGCUGGCGGCGUGCUUAACACAUGCAAGUCGAGCGGAAAGGCCUCUUCGGGGGUACUCGAGCGGCGAACGGGUGAGUAACACGUGAGUAAUCUGCCCUUCACUCUGGGAUAGCCACCGGAAACGGUGAUUAAUACCGGAUACGACACGCCCAGGCAUCUGGUGCGUGUGGAAACUUUUUGGGUGGGGGAUGUGCUCGCGGCCUAUCAGCUUGUUGGUGGGGUAAUGGCCUACCAAGGCUUCGACGGGUAGCCGGCCUGAGAGGGUGACCGGCCACACUGGGACUGAGAUACGGCACAGAAUCCUACGGGAGGCAGCAGUGGGGAAUAUUGGACAAUGGGCGGAAGCCUGAUCCAGCAACGCCGCGUGAGGGAUGACGGCCUUCGGGUUGUAAACCUCUUUCAGCACCGACGAAGCGAUCCUUUGGGGAGUGACGGUAGGUGCAGAAGAAGGACCGGCCAACUACGUGCCAGCAGCCGCGGUAAUAC
rnacentral:rRNA from 1 species